AACGAACGCUGGCGGCAGGCUUAACACAUGCAAGUCGAACGCAUCCUUCGGGGUGAGUGGCAGACGGGUGAGUAACGCGUGGGAACGUGCCCUUCAGUUCGGGAUAACCCAGGGAAACUUGGGCUAAUACCGGAUACGUGCGAGAGCAGAAAGAUUUAUCGCUGAAGGAUCGGCCCGCGUCUGAUUAGCUAGUUGGUGGGGUAACGGCCCACCAAGGCGACGAUCAGUAGCUGGUCUGAGAGGAUGAUCAGCCACAUUGGGACUGAGACACGGCCCAAACUCCUACGGGAGGCAGCAGUGGGGAAGAUUGGACAAUGGGCGCAAGCCUGAUCCAGCCAUGCCGCGUGAGUGAUGAAGGCCUUAGGGUUGUAAAGCUCUUUCGUCCGGGACGAUAAUGACGGUACCGGAAGAAGAAGCCCCGGCUAACUUCGUGCCAGCCGCCGCAGUAC
rnacentral:rRNA from 1 species